GAGCCUGCUGGUCUCCAGAGAAGGAUAAAAGAUGUGGGGCAAAGCUCUUCCAGUGGACUCCUAGACCCACAGAAGGAAGCAACGCUAUCUAGCCAGACUGCACCUAGAUCAGCUGAACUCCAGCUCAUUUGCAGAGGUACUCCAAGAUUCCUGGAUACUAUCGUCUUCAGCAGAGAAAACCCGGAAAACCAUGGUGUUCAGGAUUUUUGACUGUCGUUGCUGGUCCUGCCACAUGGUGUCGCUGUUGAGACAGACAACCUUGCCCCGCUUGCCAUCCUCCUGGCCCAAGCCCAGCGACCUUAGGGGAAAGAGGCAGGCACCUGUGUGGAACUAUGGAACGCAGUGAUCUGAGAACAGCUGCUGUACCCUAUUUCAGCAUCCUGGAGAGAUCACCUCUACUUAGGUACCUGUGUUGGAAGCAAAGCUGUAGGGCUAUCACGUGUGCAAGAGGCAACUUGACCCCCACACAUGCUGCCCGUGGCUGGGGCUCAGUCCUGCUGCCUCCCUUACGUCUCAGAUCUUUCAGAGAUACAUCUGGAAGCUCCGUGAUAGGUAGCUUCUUUGCAUGUGGAUGGUUACCACCAUGCUCAAGUAAUUAGCAUCUUCCCCCUGGCAGUAUUGACUAGCCGGUUCCUGCUACAAAGAUGCCCUUGUAGGAGAGCUGCUGU